CGCCGCCCCCCAACCGCCGCUCCUGGCGCCGGACCCGCGCCGCCCUCCAACCGCCGAUCCUCGCGCCGGGCGCGCCAACAGAGGUGGAACAUCUUGUGGUUUGAUCAACCUGAUUUACAAUAGCAGAGGACAUCCACGUGAGGUGGAGGAUAGAGUGAGGGAAGGUGGCCCUGAAGGGAGAAAGGAAUGCUGGGUGAGGUGAUGGGAGAACUAGUCAGGAACAUGACAGCCAGUAUUUACACUCAAUGCCUUGGCUAUGAAGAAAAAGACUUUCGAGUCAGUGAAACAGAUCUCAACAAAGUGAUCUGCAGAACACCGAUUCCAGGCCCCAACUUCCAGAACCCCAAUUAUUCUGCAGCAUUUCAUCCUUCACAUUGAUCCAAGGACAUGCCGAUCACCAAACAAUGGGCCUUUGAACUCUGAACUCAUCAGUGGUAAGCACUGGCAUCGAACUCCAUUCUCACCAAUUCAGGAACCCAGGAGGUUAUUGGAAUGCAUUUCUCCUUUCAACACAGAACUCAGACUCUAGAACGCACGGACAACUCUGUGAGUCCACUGACGAAUUCGUAGGCAGUGCAUUUGUGAGUCCACAAGUCUUCUGGAACUUAGGUUCCAUGUUGUUCUGCUGAACAUUGUGGGCAUGCUCUGUUGUCAUCCUUGGGUGUGCUGGUUGUAACACAAAUGAGAAAUUUCAGUGUAAUUUUCUCUGUACAUGUGACACCAAAGAACCCAGAGAAGACCUAUGCAUUCCAUAGUGAAAUUGUAUAGGGACACCUUACAGUGGAUAUCAAGAUUGAACAUCAAAAUCCAGUGCCCUGAGCUUAAACUGCUAUGCUAUCACGGUGCCUUGGUUGUUAACACAAACAACACAUUUCCCUUUACACUUGGGGAAAUAAAGGAAUCUGAAUGAUUGAAGGAUGGAGGGACUGAAUGAAUCAAAGGAGGGAGAGAGAGAGGAUGAAGAAUCAAGCAAAGAAGGCCCGAGUAUGAGAGGGAAGGAGGGAGAGCAAGUGAGGGUGAACAAAUGAGUAAGGGAGUGAAUAUGUGAGGGAAGAGUGAGAGUAAGUGAGUUUGGAGUGAAUGUGAGGAAGUGAAUAUGAGAGGGCAGGAGGGAGAGUGAGCAAGGUGAGUGAGGGAGGGGAUGAUGGAGCAAGCCAAAAAAUGUAUGAUGGGGUGAAUGAAUGUGCAAAGAAGAGAGAGACAGAAUGAGUGGGCAAAGAAUGGGGAGAAGGAAUUCAGUGAAGGUGAAUGAAGGAAGGGAGAGAGGACUCACCUUUUCUUUAAGGUUCUACUUCCUUGCAUUCUCCUGCAUUUUUGCAGCCUUAUGUUCAUCUGAGACCUUGUCAUUCUCGUCAGUAUAAUCUUCUAGUUGGUUUACCCUCUUGACCUUCAUCAGGAUCUUUUCCUUCACUUGCUGUAAUCAUCAAAUGAGUGAGCAUAGUCAUACAGCAUACAGUCAUACAGGCGCUUUGGCCCAACUCAAGUCUGCUGAGGAAGUCAAAGGCUCAAUAUCUAUGAGUCCAAGUGGGCUGGAGACCAAAGGUGGCCUGUCCUGGGUGGUUUGAGUAUCUCCGAAACUGCGGAUCUCCUGCAAUUUUCAAGCACAACAGCCUCAGGAGUUUAUUGAUCAUAGUGCAAAAAAACAAAGAAAUUCCCAGUGAGCAGCAGUUCUGUUGGUGGAAAUGCCUUGUUAAUGAGAAAGGUUAGAGGAGAAUGGUGAGAGUAAUUCAAGCUGACAGAAAGGCAACAGAAAUGCAAUUAACCAUGUAUUACGACAGUGGUUUGCCGAAGAGUAUCUGAAUGUAUAACACAUUGAACCAUGAAGUGGAUAGACUGCAGCAGCAGAAAACUUGGAGCGUACACUCUUGUUAUUUCAUUAGAUACUAGAGGUAUCUAGUAAAGUGGUCACUGAGUAUAUGUUCUAUGUUCUGAGGUGACAGGUCAUGUGAUAAGACAUCCCCAAACUGUUAGCAACACAACUUCAAGGUGAUGGAUGUGGCUUACCUUCCUCAUUCAAUUCAUACAUCUGGAUGAUAUGUGAUGCAUUCUCCCUUGUUACAUUCUCCCUUUGCACCUUCUGCAGGAACUCCUGUGGUUUUUCUACACUGAUCAGCUGCUCUUUUUUGCUGGAGUUUUCAAAGAUAAUUGUGAUCUCGCAUUCUGUCAGCAGGUUGUAAAACUCCAUCUCUGUGCCGUGGAUGGUUCCAUCCAUCGUCACAUUUCUGAUGUUAGAUACAGGGACCAAAGGCAGUUAUGAUGAAAGAUCGGAGGAAAUUGUGCUGUCAGUGAAUCUGUGCCGGCUUCACUUAAGUGCUAACAGUUCACCUGAUUUAACACUUACAACGAGAGUGUUGGACCUCUUUAUUAGAAAGGGUGUGUUGGCAAUAGAGAAGGUCCAGUGGUGGCUCACGAAAAUAAUCCAGGGAAAGAAAACAAACAUUUGAUGACUGGACCUGUGCUUGCUGGAGAUUAGGAGAAUGAGGUGUUGGAGGGUUGGGAGGGAAAUCUCAUUGAAACCUAUCAACUAUUGAAAGGACUAGAUGUAAUGGAUGUUAAGAAGAUGCUUCCUAUAAUGUGUGGGUCUGGGCCCAGAUGGCACAGCAUAACAAUUGAAGGACGCCUCUUUACAGGAAUUGAGAUGAGAUUUCUUUAGACAGAAAGGUAGUGACACUAUGGAAUUUAUUGCAAUACAUGUCUGUGGAGGGCAAUUUAUUGGCUAUAGUUAAAAUGGAGGUUGAUAAGUUGAGAAGUGGAGGACUCAGCAGGUCAGACAUCAUUCGUGGAGGAAAAUAGAACCACAGAACAUUACAGCACAAAAACAGCCCUUUUGGCCCUUCUUGACUUUGCCGAACCAUUUUUCUGCCUAGUCCCACUGACCUGCACCUGGCCCAUAUCCCUGCAUACACCUCUUUCCAGAAUAAUGGCUCUUCAGAUUAAGAUCCUUCAUCAGGACUGGGAAGGAAGGGAGGAGAAGCCAGAAUAAUAAGGUAUGAGAAGCAGAAGUAGUAUAAGGUGGCAGGUUAGAGGUGAGACCAGAUGAGGAGUAAAUUUGGUGAGUGAGGAGGUGAGCAAGAAAUAAGCUGGAAUGUUGUAGAUGUAAGAAGAGGUGAAGGAAUCUGAUAUGAGUGGAAAUUGGACCACAGAAAAGAGAGGCACCAAGGGAUGAGAUAGGCAGGUAAGGAGAAGUGGGAGGAGGCUUGAAUCGGGAAUUGAAGAAGAGAGGAGGGAAGGGGAAAAAUUACCAGAGGUAGAGAGUCCUGAUGAACGGUCUUGGCUUAAAAUUAUUUUUUAUAUUUCUUCAUGCAAAACAAAGUUCAAGGCUUAUGUUAGUGACAAUAAUUCUGACUCUGCUUCUAUACCUUUUGGGCUUAUGUACUUCUAAGUCAGAAUAUGUGAUUAGGGGUGAAGCAGUUCCCAUGUGCUUGCUGCCUUUGACUUCUACAGGGGGCUGAACUUGGGAGCCACUGUCAGAGAAGACAAUGGGUGAAAUAACACCUUGCCUUCCGGGCUGACUUAUCAAAGGAUAUUGGCACAGCUUCAUGCUGGAGUUUCUGUUUUUGAGUUUGGUAAUGCCACAGAUCCAGUACUGGGCUUCCUUGCUGCUACUGGCCACUAGUUUCAAGUUAUUUUUCCUCCCCUUGAAGAUGAUGGUAAAGCUGUAGUAGGUGGGCUUCUCUACCUCUGACUGGUGACCUGACCGCAGCUCCUUGAUGUCAUCGAUCAAGACUGAAGGAGGUUGGGUGGGUCGGGAGGAUGGUAUUACAGCAGCAGAUUUUAGAGCACUAUAUUCAGAUUCAGAUGAAUAAAGAAAUUCUGCAAAAUCAGGAAAUCCAGAUUAACAGAAACAAAAUGCUGGAGGGACUGAACAGGUCAGGCAGCGUUGAUGGAGGGGAAUGAAGACUCAACAUUUCAGGCUAAUAAUGUACCUCAGGAGUUGGAAUGAGUCCUGAUGAAGUGUCUGAGCCUGAAAUAUCAACUCUAUUCUGACACACUUUGCAAAGGAUACCGGCCCUGCUGCUCUCUCUGCUUUAUGCUGGAGUUUCUGUUCUUGAGUUUGGUAAUGCCAUAGAUCCAGUACUGGGCUUCCUUGCUGCUACUGGCCACUAGUUUCACGUUCUUUUUCCUCCCCUUAAAAUGAUGGUCAAGCUGUAGUAGGUGAGCUUCUCUACCUCUGACUGGUGACCUGCCCGCAGCUCCUUGAUGUCAUCGAUCAAGACUGAAGGGGGUCGGGUGGGUUGGGGAGGGGAGGGGUAGUACAGCAGCAGAUUUUAGAGCACUAUAUUCUGAUGUAUAAAGAGAUUCUGCAAAAGCAGGAAAUCCAUAUUAACAGAAGCAAAAUGCUGGAGGGACUGAACAGGUCAGGCAGCGUUGAUGGAGGGGAAUGAAGACUCAACAUUUCAGGCUAAUAAUGUACCUCAGGAGUUGGAAUGAGUCCUGAUGAAGUGUCUGAGCCUGAAAUAUCAACUCUUUAUUCUGACACACUUUGCAAAGGAUACUGGCCCUGCUGCGCUCUCUGCUUUAUGCUAGGGUUUCUGUUCUUGAGUUUGGUAAUGCCAUAGGUCCAGUACUGGGCUUCCUUGCUGCUACUGGCCACUAGUUUCACGUUCUUUUUCCUCUCCUUUAAGAUGUUGGUAAAGCUGCAGUCAUUGUGUUCUUUAAGAUUACCUCUGACUGGUGACCUGCCCGCAGCUCCUUGAUGUCAUCGAUCAAGACUGAAGGGGGUCGGGUGGGUUGGGGAGGGGAGGGGUAGUACAGCAGCAGAUUUUAGAGCACUGUAUUCUGAUGUAUAAAGAGAUUCUGCAAAAGCAGGAAAUCCAUAUUAACAGAAGCAAAAUGCUGGAGGGACUGAAUAGGUCAGGCAGCGUUGAUGGAGGGGAAUGCAGACUCAACAUUUCAAGCCAAUAAUGUACCUCAGGAGUUGGAAUGAGUCCUGAUGAAGUGUCUGAGCCUGAAAUAUCAACUCUAUUCUGACACACUUUGCAAAGGAUACUGGCCCUGCUGCGCUGUCUGCUUUAUGCUGGGGUUUCUGUUCUUGAGUUUGGUAAUGCCAUAGAUCCAGUUCUGGGCUUCCUUGCUGCUACUGGCCACUAGUUUCACGUUCUUUUUCCUCCCCUUAAAAUGAUGGUCAAGCUGUAGUAGGUGGGCUUCUCUACCUCUGACUGGUGACCUGCCCGCAGCUCCUUGAUGUCAUCGAUCAAGACUGAAGGAGGUUGGGUGGGUCGGGGGGGAUGGUAUUACAGCAGCAGAUUUUAGAGCACUAUAUUCUGAUUCAGAUGAAUAAAGAAAUUCUGCAAAAUCAGGAAAUCCAGAUUAACAGAAACAAAAUGCUGGAGGGACUGAAUAGGUCAGGCAGCAUUGAUGGAGAGGAAUAAAGAGUCAACAUUUCAGGCCAAUAAUGUACCUCAGGAGUUGGAAUGAGUCCUGAUGAAGUGUCUGAGCCUGAAAUAUCAACUCUAUUCUGACACACUUUGCAAAGGAUACCGGCCCUGCUGCUCUCUCUGCUUUAUGCUGGAGUUUCUGUUCUUGAGUUUGGUAAUGCCAUAGAUCCAGUACUGGGCUUCCUUGCUGCUACUGGCCACUAGUUUCACGUUCUUUUUCCUCCCCUUAAAAUGAUGGUCAAGCUGUAGUAGGUGAGCUUCUCUACCUCUGACUGGUGACCUGCCCGCAGCUCCUUAAUGUCAUCGAUCAAGA